rnacentral:tRNA from 1 species
UAUAAAGCAAGACACUGAAAAUGUCUAGAUGGGCAUUAUUGCCCCAUCAACA